rnacentral:rRNA from 1 species
UACAGAGGGUGCCAGCGUUAUUCGGAAUUAUUGGGCGUAAAGGGCGCGUAGGCGGCCCUGCGUGUCUUCCGUGAAAUCCCUCGGCUUAACUGAGGACGUGCGGAAGAAACUGCAGGGCUCGAGUCCGGGAGAGGAAGGUGGAAUUCCCAGUGUAGCGGUGAAAUGCGUAGAUAUUGGGAGGAACACCGGUGGCGAAGGCGGCAUCCUGGACCGGCAUUGACGCUGAGGCGCGAAAGCCAGGGGAGCAAACGGG